UCUAAAUAGUCAGUGCUUCACCCUAACUGCCAAACAAAGGAAAGGGAUUUCAAUUUCUAGUAAAUCAGCAAAACAAACAAUAUUAUACUUUAUUCUUUUACUCAUAAGGUCUGGAAACAAAAUUUAAAGUAGAAAGCUUGCAAAAAAAAAAAAAAAAACCCUAGGAAAAUGUAAUAAUAAUUAAAACAAAACAUAGUCAAUAAAAGCAGAACUGCAGAUGACACAAUUCCAGAAAUUAGCAAAAAAGAACUUUCAAAAUGCUUAAAUACUUUAAGAAACUAGCAGAAAAAGAUGAAUAUAAUGGAUGAAGUAAUGAAGUACAAUGGAUGAAGAAAUAAAGAAAUGAAAGCAAUGAAAAAUAUUUAAAAGUUCAUUUACAACUGAAAAUUGUAAUUUCUGGAAUGAAAAUCCACCAAAUGGGCUUAGUGGUAAGCUGGACACUGUAGAAAAUUGAUUGAGUCUGAAGGCAAGUCAAUAAAAAUUAUCCAAGCUAAAGAAGAAUGAGAAAAGAAAUUAGAAAAAAGAAAGAAGCAGAGUAUUGUUAAUCUUUAAGAUAAUAUCAAUCAAACAUAUAUAAAUAGAGUUCCAAAAGAAGAAGAGGAAAAAAAGGGAAGAAAAAUAUAUUUAAGUAAAUAAUUGCCAAAAUUUUCCAAAGUUUAAUGAGGAAACAACCCCUAGAUCCAAGAAUUGCAAUGAACCCUAAGUAGAAUAAAUAAAAGAAACAAAAAAGGAAAAAGAAAACUUGGGACCAGAAAAAAAACAAGAGCAGAAAAGGAACAAAAGCAACACAAACACAGGCAUGACAGGGGGCCACCACACGUAACACUUUCUUACUGGCUUAGACAUUUUGGAGAUCAAAGCAAGUACACCUUGGUUAAAAGAGAUAAUUUGUGUUGCUUAUAGAGGUAAUUUGGGUUAUUUAUGUAGUGGUUGAUUUUUAUUUCCAUUUUCUACUUUUAUUUCCAUCUUUAUAUCUAUAGUUUUUCUCCAUUUUCCACUUUUUCCAUAGUAAGCAAAUAUUAGUUAUAACAGGAA
rnacentral:lncRNA from 1 species